AGUUCCAUAGUUUAAGCUAAAAUGUUAGACUGCAAUUCUGAAGAUACGAUGUGUUGGAGCUU
rnacentral:tRNA from 1 species